AUACGGAGGGUGCAAGCGUUACUCGGAAUCACUGGGCGUAAAGCGCGCGCAGGCGGCUUGAUAAGUUGGAUGUGAAAGCCUACGGCUCAACCGUAGAACUGCAUCCAAAACUGUCAGGCUAGAGUCUGGGAGGGGAAGAUGGAAUUAGUUGUGUAGGGGUAAAAUCCGUAGAGAUAACUAGGAAUACCAAAAGCGAAGGCGAUCUUCUGGAACAGUACUGACGCUGAGGCGCGAAAGCGUGGGGAGCAAACAGGAUUAGAUACCCCUGUAGUCC
rnacentral:rRNA from 1 species